UACAGACACUUACGUUUUGGAGGCGGACCGUAUGUAUGCAUUGGGUUAUUAAUGGGGGAAAGGCUUACCAAGGCUUCGAUCAGUAGCUGGCCUGAGAGGACGACCAGCCACACUGGAACUGAGUACACGGCCCAUACUCUUACGGAAGGUGGCUGGGGAGAGUUUUGCACAAUGGGGGAAACCCUUGACCAGCCAUGUCCCGUGAGAGGAUAAGGCCUUCGUGACGUAAAAGUUCUUUUCCCGGUACGGUAANAGCAACU
rnacentral:rRNA from 1 species